AUCACUUCUCAGCCUUUUAGCUAAGAUCAUGUAUUAUAUCUGUUCUUAUCAAUUUAAUAUCUGAUAUGUCCUCUAUUUGAGGACUCUAUAUUAAAUGGAUUUUUGGAAUUUGGAAAUUAAAAAAAAAAAGAUUAUUGUAAUGCACUCUAUGUGAGGCUGCCCUUGUACCUAGUUCAGAAGCUGCAACCAGUGCAAAAUGCAGCAGCACAG
rnacentral:snRNA from 1 species